GCAGACUAUGCGGUAGCGGAAACGUUUUAGUUUAUGAGGAAAGUCCGGGCAUCAUAGAGCAGGGUAGCUGCUAACGGCAGCCGAGGGCGACCUUAGGGCAAGUGCAACAGAGAUAUACUGCCGUCCUCCGGGGCGGUGAUGGUGGAAAGGCGAGGUAAGAGCUCACCAGAGUACAGGAGACUGUGCUGCUAUGUAAACCCUAUCCGAUGCAACGUCUAUUGGUAUUGUGCGUCUUAACGUCUGCUCGGCGGACGUACAGUAAUGACGGCUUGAGCUUGCCGGCGACGGUAAGCGUAGAUAAAUUACCGCACACGACAGAACCCGGCUUAUCGGUCUGGUC
rnacentral:RNase_P_RNA from 1 species